GGACAAUGUAUAAUGGUUUGUAUUAAACUUGAAUUCAAUGAUAUAAUAUAUUAAUAUAAUAAUAUCAUUGUAUAAGGAAAACGAUUCUGAGCGGAGACGGCCGGUUUAUCAGUCAGGAUUUUUUUAAUUUUUAUUAUUUAUUAUAGCCUUUAAGAAGAAUUAAUAUUAUAAUAUUGUAAUUUUUUACUCGUUCCUACGGUGUUAAACAAUUCGUUUUUUUAUAUGAUUUUAAUAUUUGUACGUAUAUUAAUAGGUAGCAUAUUGGAAUACUGUAGUUGUGUUAGGACCUCCAAGCUUGGACUUACCCUUUAUAGGUCUCUGGUAGCUAUAUUUACCAGUUUUUUAUUUUUCCACAGAUGAGUUAUUGCCUAUGCCCUAUUGGUAUAUUAUUUUACCACUUGGGAACAAAUCUACUUUACUGGACACAUUUUUUUUUUUUACUGUUCUAGAACCGUUCAAGAAAUUACUGCAGCUUUAGACGCAACUUUUCUAGAAACCCGGGUGCCCGUGAGUGAUAAGAGAAAAUGGUAAAAGUGGUGGGAUAUACGACGGUUAUCAACAACUUGUGGUGGCGUUUUAGUCGGGGGAUAUUUUCGAAUUUUUUUUGUCCGAGCGCAGCGCAGCGAGCGACUGGCCAAGCGGGCAUCACUGUAAAUGAUAUACGAUUUUUUUCACGUUUGCAACCCUGUAGGGCAUUUGCCGGGCACCUACACACUAUAUAGACAGUUGUAGACAGUUAGACACAACGUUUUGUUUCAUUUUUUUUUUUUUUCGAAAACGUGGUUUUUACGUGGACACGACAGAAGGAAGUUGGCCCCCAGACUUUUCCAUAUACUCUCAACUAGUGCCAAUAUUCAGCAACCUUUUAGCAACUUUUGGCAACCAACGUGUAACCAAAAUCGGCAUAAUAAAACUGGAUGGCCAAUUUCAUGCCGCCCCCGACUUUGCAUGCAAACGUAAAAGAAAAUGUCAAUAUAUACAUCCAGUGAAAAUUUUAAGUAUCUUCGGUUAUUAAUUUUUUUAGUUACAUCAACAAAUUUAAUCGAUUUUGUCAAGAACUGGUAUUGCAUAAAACUCCGUUAUCCUUUAUUUUUUUCCCCAACGCUUUUAAAACCUAUUGUGAAACCUCUCAAAAGUACCAACUAGAUUAAGUUUUUCAUCUAAAAAGAUGCUGAAAUAUAAAAUAUUAUAUUAAAUUAUAAUAUAUAAUUCCUCGUUCCGCUCAGAAUCAGAAGUAGUAAGUUUAAAGAACCUCUUGGACGUGCUUGAUUUAUUUUUAGAAUCAACUUGUUGGAAAUCAUAUGUUGACAUGUUAAUUAAAUGAAAAGACUUAGAAGUUUGUAUAUUAAAAAAUAUUCUAUACGCCGUAAGGUAUAUGUUGAAACUAAGAUUGGCGAUAUUGGUGGGGUAUUAAAAGUACUUUGUAUUAAAAUAGUGCAGGAGUUUUUGACCGUAGCUAGUUGGUAGGUACUGAAGAAUGGCGUCUGGUAUCCAUACGCCGUUCCUCAGUACUGCGGUCAAAAACUUCUGCACUAUAUAAAUUCUAGGUACUUUUAAUACCACAAAUGCUGCCAACCUUAGUUUCAACAUUCAACUUACGACGUAUAGAAAAUUAUUUAUUACACCAACUCCUAAAUCUUUUCUUUUGAUUAACAUGCCAACAUAUGUUUUCCAGCUAGGAGAUUCCGAAGAUAAGUCUAGUACGUCCAACAGACUUCAGAGUUGCUUUAAAAACACCAACCAGCAGCUACAGAAAACACAAAAUUAUUAUGACGUGUGAUAAUUUCUGGUUCAUGCUGCUAUCGGUUGAUUUUGAGUCAUACCAUUCUCUAUUAACAUUUGCUUUAGUCCACAUACCGCUAAAAUAACCUGAUAGAAUUAAUUCGAUAAAAAUAUAGGAAAGAGGAAUAUCUACUAGAAGUAUGUCUAUAUGUCUACUAGUAGAAGUGCCUGGUCGUUGUGCUUGUCAUAACAGUUGGAGUAUUGAAUAAUGUCUUAUAUUAUGUGAUAAAUCAAUAUUUUAGGGUGCGUCUACCGGUUGCAUAUUGUUGUGACGUUAACGUUUUGUUUUUGUUUGCAUCAAUAAACGUUGGUGGCCGGAGAAGAAACAAUGCUAAAAGCAGCAGCUCCUUUCUUGGUCCUCAAUACCACUUAAAAAAAAAAGAGCAGUUGCAAUGUUUGGUGUCUUGUGUGUCGUGGGUGGAAGAAACUGAACUAAUAAAUUGGAUUCUGUAGAAUUGUAUAGUCCCACCAUCAAUACCUGGACCAUGAUUACAGCGUCAAUGAAUGUUGCACAAAAUUAUCCAGGAGUAGUAGGCAGUAGCCAUUAAUAAGCCACUUCGUUUUAAAAGGUGUUACCAUACUUAAUUUUUUUUUCUGUAGUUAUAAUACCUUAUAAUUGUUAAUAUAUUUAUUGUUUUCCUAUUCAUUUAAAGUUUUUGAAUGUUUUAUUAAAAUGUAAUUGUACAAUUUAAAUUGACUAACACAAAAAUAAACAAAGUUCAAAAUGUAUUAAAAUAGUAUAUUUUUAUGUAUAAAAGUGUAAAACACAAAAUAUUUGUUUUUCUUUGUUUUCAAGAUCUUAAACAAUAUGUUGGCACAAUGUGUCGUGUACCCAUUUUAUUUAAUUAUAGAUAUUUUAUAAUACCUAAUA